CCUACGGGAGGCUGCAGUAGGGAAUCUUCCACAAUGGACGAAAGUCUGAUGGAGCAACGUCGCGUGAGUGAAGAAGGGUUUCGGCUCGUUAAGCUCUUUUUGUAGUGAAGAAAGAUAGAGGUAGUAACUGGCCUUUAUUUGACGGUAAUUACUUAGAAAGUCACGGCUAACUACGUGCAAGCAGCCGCGGUAAUACGUAGGUGGCAAGCGUUGUCCGGAUUUAUUGGGCGUAAAGCGAGUGCAGGCGGUUCAAUAAGUCUGAUGUGAAAGCAUUCGGCUCAACCGGAGAAUUGCAUCAGAAACUGUUGAACUUGAGUGCAGAAGAGGAGAGUGGAACUCCAUGUGUAGCGGUGGAAUGCGUAGAUAUAUGGAAGAACACCAGUGGCGAAGGCAGCUCUCUGGUCUGCAACUGACGCUGAGGCUCGAAAGCAUGGGUAGCGAACAGGAUUAGAUACCCUAGUAGUC
rnacentral:rRNA from 1 species